rnacentral:tRNA from 1 species
GGGGUUGUAGCUCAGUGGUAGAGUUCUUGCCUGGUGUGCAUGAUGCCGUGGAUUCAGCCCCA